GGCCAUUCUCGCAGAUCUCUCUCAUUAACAAGGCAUUUUCGGCCACAGAACUGUCACUCACUGAUGCUUUUUUGUUUUUCACACCAUUCCGGUUUAAGAUGACGCUGAAGAAUCUCAGUGAUUUCUGGCUGGUGGCCGACGAAGAACAAGAAUCAAGAAAAACAACUGAAUACUUGCUAAUCACUUUUUCUGAAAAUGGUCGCUCUCAGGAUGUAUCAGCAUCAGCCUGGUCUCCACUCCGCCCGUCCCUAAGUUCCACCAAUCACCUCCCACCCAGGUGCAACUUACAGUGAUCAGGUUAUUGAAUUGUUUGAGAUUAAAUUCUCCAGUGCCGUGGCACAAUUCAAGCCCAGGUCUCUUGGACAAGUCUGGCCUCAUCUUAUCAGUCUCAUCUGCAGAGCUCCGAGAGAGAUAAGCUUUCUGCUGACUUUGAUCAGCUAUGGUUUGUUGGUGGCAAUUUCUAAGUGAUCAGCUGAAGGGAAGGAACCUUUGUGUUGCCGUGGCAACUUGUUCAAAGGUGGACCGGCACUAAAUCUCGCACAAAGCUACAUCAUGUCCGACAGAGAGAAGAGCCACAGAUCUAUCUGGAGGUGAAAGGGUUCUGUUGAAGAUGCUGACUUCGGUUCUUUGCGGGGUCUCACAACUGGCUGUUAAGGACACGGCCUAGAAGAUUAGCUCGCCUUUGGAGUUUCGAGAUUUUGUGGCUGUCGAGGUCAGUGCCUCUGCAGGAAAUUGGUGUGUCAUGGGAGACGGAAGGUCUCUGGCUGUGUGCCCAGAGACCUGAGUUCAGAAAAGGCGACGCAACAGACUCUUAACAUUGUAAAUCUGUGAGCUGUUUGUUAUGUCUCCCCUCUCACUGUGAAAUGGAGACAUCUCUUUUUCCCUUAUUAGGGAGAGAGAGAGAGCCCGUGGUAGCUUGACUACCAGGGGAACAAGUAGACUUUGGGGUACUGCAAGUCUGUGUCAUUAUUGAUGCUUUGCUGCACGCUUGAGUGUUUGAUGGGAGGGGGCGCUGAUGCUAUUUUUUGCUGGUGGCGGAGGGCGGAUUGUUGCUUUGCU